rnacentral:rRNA from 1 species
AGAUUAGAGUUUGAUCAUGGCUCAGAGCGAACGUUAGCGGUGUGGAUAAGGCAUGCAAGUCGUGCGUGAAAGUCUUCGGACGAGUAAAGCGGCAAACGGGUGAGUAACACGUAGCCAACCUACCCCUCAAACUGGAAUAACCAUUGGAAACGAUGGCUAAUGCUAGAUGGUCUCCAAGUGUGGCAUCACACUAGGAGUAAACGGCAGCUUCGGCAGCUGUUGAGGGAGGGGGCUGCGGGCUAUUAGCUAGUUGGUGGGGUAAUGGCCUACCAAGGCGAUGAUGGCUAGCCGGUCUGAGAGGACGACCGGUCACACUGGGACUGAGACACUGCCCAGACUCCUACGGGAGGCUGCAGUCGAGAAUCUUCCGCAAUGGGCGAAAGCCUGACGGGGCGACACCGCGUGUAGGAUGAAGGCCUUCGGGUUGUAAACUACUGUCACGCUAUAGGAACCGUCCAUGGGUAAUAAUCAUGGGCCUGACUAAAGCGAGAGGAAGUACCGGCUAACUCCGUGCCAGCAGCCGCGGUAAUACGGAGGGUACAAACGUUGCUCGGAAUCACUGGGCAUAAAGCGCGCGUAGGCGGUCUACCCAGUUGGGUGUGAAAGCCCUCGGCUCAACCGAGGAAUUGCAUUCAAUACUAGUAGACUU